GGUGAUUUCGUUAGGAGUACAAAAUUUUGCGUUAACACUACCAAUGUAUGUAUAUACGUCGAAAUCAUAAUUCGACUGAAAACUUUCGUAAUUUACAACAUAACUCUAUAUGAAUUAUAAGAGUAAUGUUAGGAAUUAGUCUCAAAUGAUAUGACAUUGUAAUAAUUCAUGGAAUCAUAUAAGAUCUAUCCAACCAAUAUUAUGGUGACACGUCAUUUAAAUUACUUUUUGAGAUAAAAUUUGAGACCUCUAGCAUCACCCAAAUUAUAAAUAUAUUUAUACAUGACCAACACCCAUAAUGUUAUACUACUUGGUUUAAUUUUCCUCUUACUGUUAAAAUAAAUUGAAGAAUUUUUAUAGUUAAUCCUAAUAUAGAUGUUACAAUUAUCUCUCUCUCUCUCUCUCUAUAUAUAUAUAUAUAUAUAUAUAUAUAUAUAUAUGUGUGUGUGUGUGUGUGUGUGUGUGUGUGUGUGUAUUUAAAGAUACAUUUCAUCUCAGGAGUCUAAGGAAAACUUGGAAAAGAAGUAAUGACUUUAUACAGUAAGGAUAUAUAUUUUUACCACUAGACCAUAUCACCUUUUGGUUUGCCAAUGGGUAAAUUUUUUGACCAUAAGUGGUUUUGUAAAUAAAACAUGUAGUCAUAAAAGGAUUCAGUAUUGACUCAGUGAAGUUGGUCAAAUUUAAUAUAGGAACAAAUUAAUUGCAUGUUUAUAAUAAAAAGUUGUAUUAUAACUUUAAUAAUAUAAAAUAAUAUCAAGAAAAAUGAAAUUUAUAUUCUACAAAUAUGUCUCUUUUUAUAUUAAUUUCACUAUUAAUUAAGACGUGUCAACUUCAUCGAGUUUUUAAAUUUAUAUUUUCUACGAUCCAAAAUAGAACACUACAAAAAAAGUUCAUUGCCGAUGGGAAUUGCCGUCGCCAAUGACCCCCUGUCGUCAGCAAUGAUCCCAUUAGUGACGGCAAUGGUCGUCGUCCCACAGGUCAUCGCCCUUAGCCCCUAUCGACCGUCGUUUGUAAUAAAUUAGGCAAAACGGGCUGAUAACUCGGCCUCCGGAUAUUGGAAUAGAGUCCCGUAAGUUAUAAUGUGUGCCUAAUAUCUAUGAGGUGUUAUGUCUAUGUUUGUGUGUCGUUUUGACGCCCGAGGCGGGUUUUAGUCUCUCUUUUUUGACUAUUGUUCUAAGUUUUCUUUAAUUUUAACAAGUUAGGCAAACGGGCUGAUAACACAGCCUCUAGAUAUCAAAAUAGAGUUCCGUAAGUUUUAACGCGUGUCUAAUAUCUAUGAGGUGCUAUGUCUAUGUUUUUGUGUUGUUUCGACGCCCGAGGCGGGUUUUGGUCUAUUUUUUGACUAUUUUUCUAAGUUUUCUUUAAGUUAGGCAAACUGGCUGAUAACUCGGUCCCCGUAUAUCAUAAUCGAGUCCCAUAAGUUUUAAUGCACGCCUAAUAUUUAUGAGGUGUUAUGUCUAUGUUUGUGUUUUAUCUCGACGCCCGAGGCAGGUUUUGAUCUCUUUUUUUGACUAUUUUUCAAAGUUAUCUUUAACUUAGGCAAACGAGCUGAUAACUCGGCCUUCAAAUAUUGGAAUCGAGUCCCGUAAAUUGUAAUUCGUACCUAAUAUCUAUGAGUUACUAUGUUUAUGUUUGUGUGUCAUUUCGACGCCCGAGGCGGGACUUGGUCUCUUUUUUGACUAUUUUUCUAAGUUUUCUUUAAGUUAGGCAAACAGGCUGAUAACUCGACCUCUGUAUAUCGGAAUCGAGUCCCGUAAGUUGUAACGCAUGCCUAAUAUCUAUGAGGUGUUAUGUCUAUGUUUGUGUGUCGUUUUGACAUCCAAGGCGGGUUUUGGUCUCUUUUUUGACUAGUUUUUUAAGUUUUCUUUAAGUUAGGCAAACGGGCUGAUAACUCGGCCUUCGAAUAUCAGAAUCGAGUCCUGUGAGUUAUAAUGCGUGCUUAAUAUUUAUGAGGUACUAUGUCUAUGCUUGUGUUUUGUUUCGACGCCUGAGAUGGGUUUUGGUCUCUUCUUCGACUAUUUUUCUAUGUUUUCAUUAAGUUAGGAAAACGGGCUGAUAACUUGGCCUCCGGAUAUCAGAAUUGAGUCCUAUAAGUCGUAACAUGUGCCUAAUAUCUAUGAGGUUCAUGUUUAUGUUUGCAUGUCAUUUCAAUGCCUGAGGCGGGUUUUAGUCUCUUUUUUGACUAUUUUUCUAAGUUUUCUUUAAGUUAGGCAAACGGGCUGAUAAAUCGACCUCCGGAUAUUGGAAUCGAGUCCCGUAAGUUAUAACGUGUGUAUAAGGUGCUAUGUCUAUGUUUGUGUGUCGUUUCGAUGCCUGAGACGGGUUUUAGUUUAUUUUUUGACUAUACAAAUCAAUUGAACUCUGUGUUCGUAAUACAUAAAACUUCAUUCUAUGAACGCCUAUAAAGACAUGUUUUAGGUUUGAAAGCAAAUGUUUUCAUUAACUUUUAUCAACUUUAACCUAUAAUAAUAACAUAGAAUUCAGUUAGUUUUAGUACUUCUAUCAAAUAUUCCUUAUCAUUCAUUGAGCAUAACAAGGAAUAUACAAACCUCUACAAAGUCAAUACUACAGUUUUAUAUAUCAUCUAUGCUAGUAUAAAAAAGUGAUUUGAAUUAAGAAAGUAGUGUACAACAAAACAGAACAUAUAGAAACAUAGUGUCCUUGUGAUUUGAAUUAAUAUGUUCUUUGAAUAGAAAAUCUGUGCUAGAAUGUGUUAUCGUGUAAUCUUACAGAUACACUGUAAAUGAUGCAUAACGCCUCAAUUAUUGGAGUUUGAUCGAAAGAAAUUUCAUUUUGUGGCUGCAUAAGAAGCCACGAUUCUGAUUCUAUGGGAGCCGAAGUUUGAACUGCUAAUGUACACAACCUCAAGCUCAACUAAGAUAAUAUUUCUACUUUCAAGUCAUGUUUUGCACCAGAAAAGACAUUACUAAUAUAACAUUGUCGGCCUAAAUACUAAACAAGAAGAUAAGUCUGAAUAAUAACUUGCUUAAAGUUACAAAAUAGUGCUACUAAGACCCCAUCAGAUUAAACAAUAUGGUGAAGUGAAAUGAUGGUAGCAGCAACUACAUGUGGUUUCACUACAUUGCACAAACCUUGUAGAUAUUUGUUAAUUACAUCAAUAAAUCUGGGUUUAUGUCUCCUCCCAAGGUAAAGGGAAUAAGCACAAACAUAUAGAAUACUAUUCUAUAAGAUAUUUGUAAUUACAAAAGACAAAUAUUUGUAGAUAUUACAAAAGACAAAUGUAGAUAUUUGUUAACCUUAUAUUUGUAGUUAUUAUAAUAUUUGUAAUAAAUAUUAUAGAUAUUAUAUAUAUUUUUGUAAUUAACCUUAUAUAUAUUUGCUAAUUACAAAAGUAAUUCUAGAUUUAUGUCUCCUCCCCAGUGUCAAGGACACGAUCAAAUACUAUUAUUUUGUUGUGAAUAUCGCAUGCCCAUAUAUGGGUUCAUCUGGAACCACAUUUUGACCCAAAAGGUUAAUCGAUUAGAUUUAUGAUCCAUUACAGCAUAUAUACCUCAAUCUUUCUCCUUGAGUUCUAUUUUGGGAGUUGAUUUUCAUGCAAUACCUCAAUAUUAUUAAACCUAAUAGAAAUUUCAAACCUUAGAGUAAACUCAACACAGACUAAUUUGGGAACAAACCCAACAUAGAGAACAAAUUCAACUUGGGAACAAACCUAACACAGACACGGAGCAUAUAUACAUAAACUGAAAACGGAAUGCCAAGUAAGGGAACUAAAUCAGAGCAUGCAUAAACUGAAAAUUUCUAAAUUAAUGUAAAAUCAAAGUAUACUUGAACUUAAUUUAAGAAUUGGAGUUUUUUUAAUUCAACUAGAGGAAUUGGGGGAUGAAUUCUGUAACAUCCCAACUUUUUAUGCAUAGGAUUUAAUUUCUUUAUAUUAUUUUAAAUAUUAAGGUAUUAAUUUGAUAUGAAGAUAAAGUUAUGGGUUAUAUAUGCAAAGUAUAGAAAUUAUAUAGCGUGUCAGGGAAUAUUCGUUUUUUCUGGAAAUAUUCCUUCUUUCGAAAAAUAUUAUAUUUGGUAAAGUAUGACGGUGCCGCCGAAGGAACCAAACAUUGGUGGGCCCACAACGAAAUAACUGUCGGAUAUAGAAUGCGACAAAAAUAACCUUUUAUAAAAUAACGAAAAAACCUUUACCGUUAACUGUUGAAAUACCCGAUGAUAAAAAUAUAAUAAUACGCAUUAUUCUACAGUAGUACGCAGUAUUGCACAAUAUUCUGAUUAUUGAUUCUUACGUAAGAAGUCACAUAGUAUUUUAUUCAAUAGUUGUCACAAUAGUCAUUGUAUAGUAAUUCAUAUUAUUGAUUCAAUCAUUGGUACAGUGAUAAUUGCAUAGUAUUGACUCAAUAAUGGUUACAGUAGCAUCUGCACAAUAUUUUAUAUUAGUAAAUCAAUAAUGCUUAUGACACAGUAACUCAUAUUAUUGAAUUGAUAUUAUUAGAUAGCAUUAUUGAUAAUGUCUAGAAAAUUCUUUCAAGAAAAGGGGUUAAGUUAUAUAAUUGCGCGCCAAUAAGGAGAAAUCCUUAUCGGAAAGCCCCCUCUGUCCUGGGAACGAUCUGGUUGUCAAUAUUGUGAAUCUAUAAUUUUAAUUGGGAAUAAUUGUUGAAAGAUUAAAAAUGUGUUGAUUGAAGAUAAAUGAUUUGUGGUAGAAAUUUUAUCAAUUUUUGAUAUAAAUAGAGAGGAUUGUCAUGGGGCGUUUAUUGUAAAUUUGGCUUAUUAUUCCAUGGACCCCAUGUGUCAAUUUGUCAAACCUUCGGCAGAAAUUUAUCUCAGUUUUGUUUUAUUAUUAUUAUGAUAUUAAUAAAACAGAAAACUUUUCUUAUAAAACAGAAAAAAAUUUAUAAUGUGUAUAAAGUUAUUUGUUUUAUUAGAAAAUAUAUUAUAUUAUAUAUAAAGUUUUUGUUUUAUUAGAAUAUUUUAUUGCAUAGUGUUGCAUAAUAAAGAUCAGUCGUUCACCCAUGAAUCCUUGACUGUUCGUUGGUCAUUUUCUUUUAAAUAGUGCCAUAUCAUUCUCCUAUAAAUAGGUUUCUUAGUUAAGAAAUGAAAAUCACACUAGAAUCAGAAAUGUCUUCUUCUAUAAUUUUGAGCAUAUUUCUUUUUAAUCUAAGGAUACUUUGAGUAUAGCAAAUAGUGCAAGAUUUCCUCGAGAUAAUCUCCGUUAUAUCAGUCAGAUCUAGUCUCCUAUUAAGGUAAAUGAUAUUAUUUUCUUUCAAUACUCAUAAGGGAUAUCAUUUUCUUUCAUAAUCUAUAUUAUGCAAGUGAUAUUAUUUCAUUUCAUAUUCCUAAAUUUAAACAUACUAUGGUAAGUAUUGCUUCUAUAAUUCCUGAAAUGAUUAGAAAUUCUUUGAGGUUUGUGCUUCAUCUAAUAUCAUUUCACUGGAAUAUUGCUAUGAACUUUCUUAUUAAAUUUUAAUCUUUUUAUUUCGGGGUACUAUUCAUGUCGGAGUACUAUUCACGAUGAAAUUAGUUUUUUUUUCUUUGUCCAAAUUAUCUUUGAAAUAUAAAUCUUAAAUAUUAUUCUUGGAUUUUACUCCACAAUUGGUUAUCAUGUUGACAAUUUGGACAUUCUUGAACUCUGGAUAAAUUAAAUUACAAAUCUCUAAUAUUUAUCCUUGAUCUCACUUGUAUUCAUCCUAUAUAUCAUUGUCAUCAUCCUUAUGUUUAAAUUUGUGGUGGAAAACUAUAUUUGGCCCGUAGUGCAAAGAUGAAUUGUUGAUUGGUAUGAUUAUGACCAAGAAUUAUGUAUUUGUAUAAUCAUGACCUUUAAUGUUACAGGCAAAGGCUUGUGGUGAAAGUUCUAUUUGGCCCGUAGUGCAAAGAUGGACUGUUGUUUGUCAUGAUCAUGACCACUGGUGAUACAAAUGAAUAUCUUUGGCCCGUAGUGCAAAGAUAAAAUGUUGAUUUGCAUAAUUAUUUAUUGGUGUUACAGGGAUAAAAUAUUGAUAAUGGACCCUUAAAUCAUAGAAGAUAAUAGACAUCAUUCUCUACUUCACUAUUCUAAUGGAUUGUUUGUUCUUCUGCUGUUGUUGAUCUAAAAAUUCUUGUCUAUUAUAUUAUAUCUGAUUUAUCAUUGUUGAAGACUAAAGAUAAUUUAUUCAUCAUUAUCUUAGUCAUAAUAUUCUUUACUGGGCUAUUUGAGCUCACCCUUUUUUCUUUUAUUCCAUUGUUCUUCUCAGAAAAGGAAAGUGUAGCUGGGACAAGUCGGGGAGUGGAGUAAUGGUCCGAGAUAGUUACUAUAGAAGUCUUCACUAUGUUGUGAAAUAGUGAGAAAAUAAGUGUAAUGAGAACUUAAUUUGAGUUUGGAAAUUGUCGUAUUGUGAAUGGUGAAAUAUUUGUAUUAAAAUUGUGACCCCCNNNNNNNNNNNNNNNNNNNNNNNNNNNNNNNNNNNNNNNNNNNNNNNNNNNNNNNNNNNNNNNNNNNNNNNNNNNNNNNNNNNNNNNNNNNNNNNNNNNNNNNNNNNNNNNNNNNNNNNNNNNNNNNNNNNNNNNNNNNNNNNNNNNNNNNNNNNNNNNNNNNNNNNNNNNNNNNNNNNNNNNNNNNNNNNNNNNNNNNNNNNNNNNNNNNNNNNNNNNNNNNNNNNNNNNNNNNNNNNNNNNNNNNNNNNNNNNNNNNNNNNNNNNNNNNNNNNNNNNNNNNNNNNNNNNNNNNNNNNNNNNNNNNNNNNNNNNNNNNNNNNNNNNNNNNNNNNNNNNNNNNNNNNNNNNNNNNNNNNNNNNNNNNNNNNNNNNNNNNNNNNNNNAAAAAAAAAAGUCUACGCAACUCAUUCUGAGUCACCAAAUACAUGGUACAAAAUUCGAAUACAAACUUCCUAUAUACAACUAUUAACUAUCGUGUAAAAUACGACAAAAUAUAAGAUGUGAGUUUCAAUACAAAUAUUAUCUCGUAGACAACAUCCAAACUUAAAUAAAAUCUUCAUUACAAUUAUUGUCAAACUAUUUUAUAGAAUAGUGAGGACUACUAUAGUAACCAUCUUGGACCAUCACUCUAUUCCCCGACUAGUCCCAGCUAUAUUCUCAUUUCCUGAAUAGAACAAUGAAAGAAAAAGGUGAGCUCAACUAGCCCAGUAAAGAAUAUUAUGACUAAGAUAUUGUAGAACACAUUAUUCUUAGUCCCUAACAUGGAAAAAUCUGAUAGAAUACAAUAGAUAACAAGUUUUAGAUCAACAACUAUAGUGGAAAUAGAAAUCCAUUAGAAGAGUCAAGCAGAGCAUGAUGUCUACUAUCUUCUAUGAUUUAAAAGUUCAUCAUCAAUACUUUAUCCCAGUAACAUCAAUCAAUAAUUAUUUCCAAUCAACGAAUUAUCUAUGCACUACCAGCCAAAGAUAAUCAUUUGUAUCACCAGUGGUCAUUAUCAUGCCAAACACCUGUUCAUCUAUGCACUACGGGCCAAAUAGGACUUUCAUCACAAACCUUUUCCUGUAACAUUAAAGGUCAUGAUUAUACCAAUACACAAUUCCUGAUCAUAAUCAUACCAAUCAACAAUCCAUCUUUGCACUACGGGCCAAAGAUGACUUUCAUCAUAAUAUAAGCAUGAGGAUGAUGCAAAUGAUACAAAGAAUGAAUCAAGUGAGAUCAAGGAUAAAUAUUAGAGAUUUAUAAUUUAAUUUAUCCAAAGUUCAAGAAUAUCCAAAUUAUCAACAUGAUCUCUAAUUGUGGAGUAAAAUUUAAGAAUGAUAUUUAAGAUUCAUAUUUCAAAAAUAAUUUGGACAAAAAAGAAAAUUAAAUUCCGUCGUGAAUAGUACUCCGGUGUGAAUAGUACCCCAGAUGAAUAGUACACCAGUAUGAAUAGUACCCUAGAUGAAUAGUACACUGGUAUGAAUAGUACCCCGGAUCAAUAGUAUCCCGACAUGAAUAGUACCUCGGAUGAAUAGUACCCUGACAUAAAAAGAUUAAAAUUUAAUAAGAAAUUUCUGACCAAAAUUCUAGUGAAAUGAUAUUAGAUGAAGCGCAAACCUCAAGGAAUUUCUAAUCAAUUCAUGAAUUAUAGAAGCAAUACUUACUAUAUUAAGUUUAGAUUUAGGAAUAUGAAAUGAAAUAAUAUCACUUACAUAAUAUGGAGUAUAAAAUAAUAUACGAAACUGCAAAUGGAUUUUCACCCGUCUUGCAGUAAUCAGCAUAGACAAAUCAUUUCCACAACUGAAUAAUGAAUGAAUACGAAGGGUUAUUCACCAAUCAUGCGGUAAUCCGUGUAGACAGGUUAUUCCCAUAGUUUAAUAAGGAAUAGAAUGACAACCCUUAUGAGUAUGAAGAAAAUAACAUCAUUUACCUUAAUAAAAGACUAGAAACUGCACUAGUGUAGUAGUAGAACUUUGUGUUGGUGGUGUGUGCUUGCUUCUCGAGUACUCUUCUUCUUUCUCUCUUAUUCUUUCUCUAUAGUUUCUCUCUCUAUAGCUUCAGUUAAUUGGUGAGAAUGAAGGAAGAUAUGAGCUUCUAUUUAUAGAAUAAUUCUAGUUAAUUGGUGGCUUGACGCCUGCGACAAGGUAAGUGGUUUGUCGCCGGUAAUGUGAAAAGGCAAGUGGCUUGAUGUCUGGUAAGGGCAAGUACUAUUGGCGAAAGUGAGUCUUAGAUGAUGACCUAUGGGUCGUAUAGAAUAUGCUAAACUUACAACAAACGUCUCAUGACAAAGCCCUCUAUUUAUAUCAAAAAUUGAAUAAAUAUUUACCACAAUUCACUUAUCUUCAAUCAACACAUUUUUAAUCUUUCAACAAUUUUUCAUCAUUAAUAUUAUAAUUCACAAUAUUAACAACCAGAUCGUUCCCAUGAAAGAGGGGGCUUUCUGAUAAGGAUAUCUCCUUACUAGCGCGCAAUUAAAUAACCUAACCACUUUCCUCGACAAAACUUUCUAGACAUUGUCAAUAAUGCUAAUAAUAUGAGUAACUGUAUCAUGUCAAUUAUGGACUUAAUAAUAUAAAAUAUUAUGCAGAUGCUACUGUAACAAUUAUUGAAUCAAUAAUAUGAGAUAUUAUGCAGCAACUAAUGUGGCAAUUAUUGAAUACUGAGUGGCUUCUUACGUAAGAAUCAAUAAUCAGAGAUACUGUGCAAUACGGUGUGCUAAUGUGCAAUAAUGCAUACCACUGUGAAAUAACGCGUAUUACUGUACUUUUAUCAUCGAGUAUUUCAAUAGUUUAACAGUAAAAAUUCAGCCGUCAAAUUUUAGAAAACUUAUUUUUGUCAUUUUCUUCAUCCGACAGUUAUUCUAUUAUGGGGCCUACCAAUGAUUUCUCCGUCGUACGAAUAUUCUCCGACAUAAAGAAUAUUUUCCGAUGAAACGAAUAUUUUAUGACAACUUGUUUACUUUGUAAAAUUUGCACAUAUCAUCCAUAACUAUAACGUUUAUUAAAUUAUGACCUUACUAUUUAGAAUAAUAUUUAGAGAAAAUUAAAUCUUUAUUCAUAAAAAGUUGGGGUCUUACAACCUCCCCUCUUUAUAAAACUUCGUCCUCGAAAUUGAUGUACGUAUUUGGUAUUUCGAAGAGGUGAGGAUACCUUACUUUCAUUUCAGAUUAUAACUCCCAGGUCAUUUCUUCAACAUCAUGGUUUCUCCAUAAAACUUUGACUUGAGGUAUAACCUUUGAGCAUAAAAUAUGUUCCUUCUUAUCCAAUAUUUUAACAGGUACCUCUUCAUACGUUAAAUCUUCUGAUAUCCCGUCUGGUUCUAAUUCAAUAAUGUGGUUUAGUUCUUCCACAUAUUUACGUAGCAUGGAUAUGUGAAAAACGUUAUGAACACGAGACAUGAUUGGCGGUAAGGCGAGUCUAUAGGCCACAAUUGUUGGUUAUUGCCUUUUGGUUGAAAAGUCUCAUUAUCUCGCUCUAAUAAUUGAUCCAUAUUCAAAACAUCUGAAUACAAACAAAGUUUAUGAGAAAUGAGGUAUUGACGAAUUUCAGGCUUCAAACCUCUCACAAACAUUCGUGUCAUUUGCUCUUCAUUAUCCACCAAAUGAGAUGCAAACCGGGAUAAUUCCGCAAACUUGGCCUCGUAUUGUGAUACAAUCAUAUUGUUCUGUUCUAGUUUGAUGAUUUCCACCUCCUUUAUAUGACGAAUACUUUCUGGAAAAUACUUGUUGUUGAACAAUUCCUGGAACUUCUCCCAAGACAUCUUAAAUGCGGAAACCUGAGUACGUUUCACAAAUUCCCACCAGUAAUCUACCUCUUCACACAAUAUAAAGGUGGCGGGGAACCUUUUACUCCUAUGUGCAUCCCAGGACAUCAAAUAUUUUAGUGAUCUGCUUAAUCCAAACUUCUACCUUAAGUGGCUCUGGCUUUCCCAAAAACUCUACCGGUCCCAAAUCCUUAAGUUACUUGGCAAUGACCAGCCGUGAGUUACCAUUGUUUCCACCUGUAUUUUGAACAGAAGUCUCUCUCGUCUGGUGUUGCAUGAAUUGGAGAAAGUUCCUAAACACCUCAUCGUUCAUCACUUGGUCAGUGUUGUUGUUUACAUGAGGAUUAUUGUCUUCGUGAUGCACAGUAUCCUGGUUAUUGAUUGGCAGUGUCUCAAUGGUCUCAUGUGCUCCAUUGUUUAUCUCUAAAUUUUUAGAUGUUAUUCUCAAAUACUGCCACAAAACAAGGGUUAAUUAAAGAAAUUGACAUGUCACAUAUUAUCCCUAUAUUCCGACUGACUAGUUAAAUAACAAAUAAGCUUAGGUAAGACACACUAGUGAAGGUUUUACUCGCCUCUCCCCUCACAAUACUAAUCCCAUAUCUCCACCAGAGAUCAUAUCCCUAAGCUCUGAUACCAACUAUGACGCCCCCAAAAUAGGUCUACACAACCCAUUCUGAGUCGCCAAAUACAUGGUACAGAAUCCAAAUACAAUCUUCCUAUAUACAACUAUUAACUGUCGUGUAAAAUACGACAAAACAUAAGUUGUGAAUUUCAAUACAAAUAUUGUCACGUAGACAAUAUCCAAACUCAAUAAAAGUCCUCAUUACAAUUAUUGUCGCACUAUUUUAUAGAAUAGUGAGGACUACUAUAGUAACCAUCUUGGACCAUCACUCCAUUCCCUGACUAGUCCCAGCUAUGUUAUCAUUUCUUGAAGAGAACAAUGAAAGAAAAAGGUGAGCUCAACUAGCCCAGUAAAGAAUAUUAUGACUAAGAUAAUGUAGAACAAAUUAUCCUUAGUCCUCAACAAGGAAAAAUCUGAUAGAAUACAAUAGACAAUAAGUUUUAGAUCAACAAAUGUAGUGGAAAUAGCAAUCCAUUAGAAGAGUCAAGUAGAGCAUGAUUUCUACUAUCUUCUAUGAUUUAAAAGUCUAUCAUCAAUAUUUUAUCCCUGUAACACCAAUCAAUAAUUAUUUUUAAUCAACGAAUUAUCUUUGCACUACGGGCCAAUGAUAAUUGUUUAUAUCACAAGUGGCCAUGAUUAUACCAAACACCUGUCCAUCUAUGCACUACGGGUCAAAGAGGACUUUCACCACAAACAUUUGCCUGUAACAUUAAGGUCAUGAUUAUACCAAUAGUUCCCCGGAUGAAUAAUACCACGACAUGAAUAGUACCCCGGAUGAAUAGUACCCCGACAUAAAAAGAUUAAAAUGUAAUAAGAAAGUUCCGACCAAGAUUCCAGUGAAAUGAUAUUAGAUGAAACGCAAACCUCAAGGAAUUUCUAAUCAUUUCAAGAAUUAUAAAAGCUAUACUUACCAUAGUAAGUUUAGAUUUAGGAAUAUGAAAUGAAAUAAUAUCACUUACAUAAUAUGGAGUAUAAAAUAAUAUAUGAAACUGCAAAUGGAUUUUCACCCGUCAUGUAGUAAUUCGUGUAUACAGAUCAUUUCCACAACUGAAUAACGAAUGAAUACGAAGGGUUAUUCACCAGGCAUGUGGUAAUCUGCAUAGACAUGUUAUUCCCACAGUUUAAUAAGGAAUAGAAUGAAAACCCUUAUGAGUAUGAAGACAUCCUUUACCUUAAUAACAGAAUAGAUACUGCACUAGUGUAGUAGCAGAACUUUGUGUUGGUGGUGUGUGCUUGCUUUUCGAAUACUCUUCUUCUUUUUCUCUUAUUCUUUCUCUAUAGUUUCUCUCUCUAUAGCUUUAGUAAAUUGGUGAGAAUGAAGGACGAAAUGAGCUUCUAUUUAUAGAAGAAUUCUAGCUUGGCCCUUGCAAUAUAAAGAGGCAAGUGGCUUGACGCCUGGUAAUGUGAAAAGGCAAGUGGUUUGACAUCUAGUAAAGGAAAGUACAAUUUGCAAAAGUGACUCUUAGAUGAUAACCUAUGGGUCCCAUUAAAUAAGUCAAACUUGCAACAAACGUCUCAUGAAAACCCCUUUUAUUUAUAUCAAAAAUUAAAUAAAUAUUUACCACAAUUCACUUAUCUUCAAUCAACACAUUUUUAAUCUUUCAACAAUUAUUCAUCAUUAAUAUAAUAAUUCACAAUAUUAACAACCAGAUCGUUCCCAGGAAAGAGGGGGGCUUUCUGAUAAGGAUAUCUCCUCAUUGACGUACAAUUAAAUAACCUAACCCCUUUCCUCGACAGAACUUUCUAGACAUCGUCAAUAAUGUUAAUAAUAAUAUGAGUAACUGUAUCGUGUCAAUUAUGGAUUUAAUAAUAUAAAAUAUUGUGCAGAUGCUAUUGUAACAAUUAUUGAAUCAAUAAUAUGAGAUAAUAUGCAGCAACUACUGUGGAAAUUAUUGAAUACUGAGUGACUUCUUACGUCAAAAUCAAUAAUCAGAGCUACUAUGCAAUACCGUGUGCUAUUGUGCAAUACCGCGUACUAUUGUGGAACAACGCGUAUUACUGUACUUUUAUCACCGGGUAUUUCAACAGUUUAAUGGUAAAAGUUUUACCGUCAAUUUUUAGAAAACUUAUUUUUGUCAUUUUCUUCAUCCAACAGUUAUUCCGUUAUGGGGCCCACCAAUGAUUGCGCCAUCAUACGAAUAUUCUCUGACAAAAAGAAUAUUCCUCGGCAAAAAGAAUAUUCCUCGACAAAACAAAGAUUUUUUGACAAAACGAAUAUUUUAUGACAACUUGUUUACUUUGUAAAACUUGCACAUAUCACCUAUAACUAUAACAUUUAUUAAAUUAUCACCUUACUAUUUAGAAUAAUAUUUAGAGAAAAUUAAAUCUUAAUUCAUAAAAAGUUGGGGUCUUACAAAAAUCCACAGUAUGUGUGGUCGUAUUUUGCACGACAGUUUAAUAGUUAUAAAUUGGAAAGUUUGUAUUUAAAUUCUGUAGUAUGUAUUUUGGUGACUCAAAAUGGAUUGUGUGGACCUAUUUUAGGGGCGUCACAAAUUAGGGUUACAUUUGGGGGAAAUUUAACGAGCUGAAACUAACCGAGCUUGCGAGAGGAGGCGACAGUGAUUGUGGAUGACUGGGAGGGAGAGGGUGAGAAUCUGAGGAAGGUCGACGGUGAGCUUUUCAGGCGAUGGCGGCAAGAAGAGGAAAAAGUGAGAGAGAGUGAUUUUCGUGUGAGGGAGAGAAAUAAUACGCUCGAAGUAAUUUAAUACAGACUCAUUCUCGACGGCAUGUCUGUCGAGAUUGACUCACUAGCGACGGACGUCCCGUUGACAAUGACUUUUUUUCCCGUUGCCUAUGACUUUCCUUCCAGCGUGAAAUAAUACCCAUCAAAUUCUGUCCUAGGAAAAGUCAUUCUCGACGGGACACAUUGGCAAUGAUUAUGUCGUCGACAUUGAGGUCAUUCUAGACAGGCAUAACGUCAUCGCUAAUGGUGUCGUCGUCAAUAACAUGUUUUCUUGUAGUGGAAGAUUAAUAUUGACAUGUAUCUAUUUAAUUAAUUUCACCAAAUAUAAUUUUCAAUACUUUAGUCUUACUAAAAUGUGUUACUAUGAACUUUUAUGUUUAAUUUUUUUUACAUCAAUCGUGUUGAUUUUAAAAGUACAAAAUUUUAAAAUUAAAUCUUUAAAGAAUUAUCAUUUAUCUAGAAUCGAAGGAGUAACCUAUGUUAUAUUAUUUUCUAUUUUAGAUAUCAGUUUCCGUCAAUAUAUUGUUGUGAAGAGGAGGACCCUUCCAAUAAGUGGAAAAGGUGGAGUACAAAGAAGAAGAAAAGCCACCGGAAAAUGAAGAAGAAUCCCAAAAAGAAAAGGAUGGGAUCUUUAUGUGAUGGGUGUAUUCUAGUGGAUUUAGUGGUCCAAUUAAUUACUCCCAUCCCAAAAAAAAAUACAAAAAAAAUAAAUAUUUAGAAUGUAUUUUAUUUUAUAUUUAUUUUAAAAAAAUUAUUAGUUAAAUAGUGAUGACAUCAUAAUAAUAUUAUAGUAACAAGUUUGAGAACUUUUUGUCAUUUUCUACUCUUAUGAAUGAAACAAAAAAAAACUCUUCUCAUGAAAUAAACUUUUUAUAAAUGGUACUCUGUUUGUGAGAGAAAGGGAGUAAAUAUUUAGCCCAAUUUUGUCACUAAAUAUACAUUCAAUGAAAUUAAUGAAAUUAUAAUAGAGAGAAAUCUAGUUUCAAUAUUAAUGUUGAAAGAAAGUUAAGAGAAAAAGAAAUGAAAAGAAAAUUCUUAUUUCAUUUAACAAUAAAAAAUAUAUAAUUAGAAAGAAAAGUUAGACAAGGAAUUGGGUAAAGUUGGAUUAAUUAAAAGACUUUCUUUAGUCUCUUUUUUCUUUUUAAUUAACAUGUAAAGAAAUAAGUGAAUAAAUUACACUACUUGAUACGGCGGACGUGUCCGUCCCAGAUACUAACAUUGGCGAUGGAAUAAGCUUAUCGCGACGGAUUUGUCCGUAGCAAUUCUCAUUUUUCUAGUAGUAUAUAUGUUGCUCCUGGAUAAAAUUUAAAAAAAAGGGGAGAAGAAGAAUAUACAUGGAAGGAACUAAAGAGGAAAUAAUUAACAGAAUUAUGAUAGAUGUUUACUGCUAAAUGCUUAUAUGAUCCUUUACAUAAUUAGUGAUGAAGUAUUAAUAAUUUUGCAGUAAUUAUAUGUUUGAUUAUUCAACAUUACGCUACAAAUCUUAAGUCUAAUAAAUUGUAUAGCAAAAAGAAAAAAGAAAAAAGAAAGUUCUAAUAAAUUGUAUAGCAAAAAGCAAAAAAAAAAAGAAAAGAAAGUUGUCUGGAAUAAAUUAGUAUAUGGAAACAAAGUACAUAUACUAACAUGCAUGGCAGGUUUCACAUUGAACAGUUUAAAAAUAUUCUGACAGGCCCCGUUGCAAAAGCUAAAAAUUAAUUGAGUAAUCUACACAGUUUUUUUAGACCGGUUCAAUUUUUAGUUUUUUUGGUUCCGAUUUCGAAAAAAUUUAUAAUAUUUAUUUUAACUGAAAUUUUUAUAGAAUAUAAUAUUUUUAAGUAUAAUUUGGAUACAUAUAAAAAAUAAAAUUGUACAGUCUUAUUUUUUAUAUGUAUCUAAAUUACACCUAAAAACAAUAUAUUUUAUAAAAAUUUUAAUUAAAAUAAAUAUAAUAUAUUUUUUAGAAGUCACAAUAAAAAAAUUAUAUUUUUUUUUGCACCGAUCCAAUAUUUUGGUCGGACAAACCUUUGCGCCAAGACUUAUUGUAAUUAAAAAUAUUCUGUUAGCCAUGCACAUGCAUGUUUUCCACGUCACGUAGGACAUUUCAGGUUAAAUUAAGAGUCAAUGCUUCAGCAGGCCAAAUAUAUAUAUAUAUAUAUAUAUAUAUAUAUAUAUAUAUAUAUAUAUAUACACACACACACACGUGUUUAUCACCUCACACACGCAAUUAUUGGAAAAUUUGAGCUAAUAUAAACAAUAUAUAUAUAUAAACAAUAUAUAUAUAUAUAUAUAUAUAUAUAUAUACUUAAAAGAUUUAAUUGACUUUUUAUUUUAAGUCAUUGUGACUUAUUUUGAUAAAAAAUGUUAAAUUCGGUGACCAAAAAAUUUAAUUUAUAAAUAUUUAAAGACAUUAAGAUUUAAUUUCUUAAAGUUGAAAUAUUAUGGUUUAAAUUGUAAAAAACAAAAAAUUUGAAGGUUUAAAGUGUUAAGCCAAUAUUUUUAUCUUUUGACAUGUUUCUCAAAACGAAAAAAGAAAUACACUCAAAACUAAUUAUGGGUAAAAUCAAUUGGUUAUACAUUUCUGAUAUUUCAUCAUAAUUAUGAAAUUAACAAUAAAAAGGGAGGAAAUUUGGCAUAAGAGAACUUUAAUUUAUUGAAUUUUAUUACAUGAAUAACCUCUAGAUAUAUAUAGAGGUCAAAACCUUAAAACAUACAUCACGCAAAACUUAAAAAACCAAAAACAUGUAAAUAAUUUGGAUGAAUCCUUUCUCUUGGUUUGUAUUAUUCUUCAUCUUCCGUUCGUUUUCAUUCUCUCUACAUCCACUUUUCUUCUUUGAGCAAUUAUUUUUUCCUGCAAGAAUAAGUUUAUAUCUGUCAUUAAUUCAUUUGGUAAAAUAGUUGCUGAAAGACUACCUAAAACCUUACUUAGAUAAAAUAUAAUGCAGGCGAGUAAGGGUUUUAUCAAACCAAUUAAGUGAUAUAUAUAUAUAUAUAUAUAUAUAUAUAUAUAUAUAUAUAUAUAUACACACACACACACACACUCAAUAUUUCUCAUAUUAUGUCUAAAUAAAGAAUAUAUUUUCUGAAUCUUAUGUGUCAUUUCUUGUCUAAUAUUAUGUAUUGUUACAAUUUUAAUGUAAUUACUACCUCCAUUCCAUAAUAACUGUCUUUUUAGAAGAAAAAAUUUGUUCCAAUUUAUUUGUCGUUUACAACUUUCUAGGAGAAUAAAUUAUUUAUUUUCCUAUAUCACCCCUAAUUUCUCUCAUUGUGUCAAGAAAUUUUCUCCCUUAUAUUAAUAAUUUUCAACUUCACAUAAAGGGGUAGUGAUGAAAUUUCAUAUAAAUUUUAAUUCUCAAAUAAUAGUAUUAAAUGAGUUUCUUAAUUCAUGUGCAUGAAGCUAAAAAGAUUAUUAUUUUGGAAUAGAGAUAGUACUUAUUUAUAAUUAAGUCAACUGUUUAAAUGUAUAAAUGUUACGACACAAAUACAUGAAAUGAGAUAAUGGAUGCAACUAUAAAAGGAACAAUAUAUCUGAAUUUAAGAAUAUUAUUAUAGGGUAUCUAUUGAAAAAUAGUGUAUAUCAAGUAUAUGGGAUUUUUAUAUAUUAUUCUUUUUUUUAAGAUUACCUCGUAUAGGCUAAGUGAUUCCUUAGUAGUGGUGAGGAGGAGGAGGAGGAGGCGAAGUGUAGUAAUAAUGGGUCGGUGGUGGUGGUGACUUGUGAACCGGUGGUGGUGGUGGGGAUUUGUACUUGUAAACUGGUGGGGGUGGCGGUGGUGAUUUGUAGUGGUAAGGAGGGGGAGGGGAGUGCACCGGCGGAGGUGGUGGUGGUGAUUUGUAGUGGUAAGGAGGAGGUGGUGAGUGCACCGGAGGUGGCGGUGGUGGUGAUUUAUAGUGGUAAGGAGGGGGUGGUGAGUGUACCGGAGGUGGCGGUGGUGGUGACUUGUAGUGGUAAGGUGGUGGUGGUGAGUGCACCGGAGGAGGCGGUGGUGGUGGUGAUUUGUACUUGUAAGGAGGAGGAGGUGGUGGUUUUGGGGAUUUCUUAGGAGGUGGAGGAGAGGAGUAAGAGUAAUUUGCUGUGGUUUCUGAUGGCAAAUUGAGAGACACUAAUACCACUAGAAAAGUUAGAAUGAGAGAGGCCAUUUUGGACCCCUUAGAUUUUCUUCCCAUCUUUACUACAAAUGUAGCUUCUUUGUUGUGCUCUUAAGCAACCUUUUGCCCUCUAUUUAUAGCUUAGCUUUUUUACCUUUUAACAUUAAUAAAAAUCAUAAUGCAUGCAUGGUAAUUAAAAC
rnacentral:lncRNA from 1 species